UACGUAGGGACCGAGCGUUGUCCGGAAUCAUUGGGCGUAAAGAGCGUGUAGGCGGCCUUUUAAGUCCUGCGUGAAAUCCUGCGGCUCAACCGCAGACGGUCGUGGGAAACUGGAAGGCUAGAGUGCGGGAGAGGAGAGUGGAAUUCCGCGUGUAGUGGUGAAAUGCGUAGAGAUGCGGAGGAACACCGAUGGCGAAGGCAGGUCUCUGGGCAUUAACUGACGCUGAGGAGCGAAAGCAUGGGGAGCGAACAGG
rnacentral:rRNA from 1 species